UUCAUUCAAUUAUCUCUUUUUAUGUCUGUGGGAGAAUGGGAAAUAAGUACCUAGCGUGCUGCAGCCCAUGGAGUCACAGAGUCAGACACAACUGAGCAACUGAACAACAGCAACCCACUGACAAACUACAAGGAAAGGGAAAAGAGUCCUGCUGCUCAGACACAGUGGCACCAUAUUUUGGAGCCACCAUUACCAUCUUGCCCCCACAUGGAAUCUUGCAUGAAGCCAACUGGUGGCUCUCGACAGAGGAUGUGAUGGUUGGACGGCAUCAGCAACUUGAAGGACAUGAGUUUGAGCAAGCUCCAGAAGUUGGUGAUGGACAGGGAAGCCUGGCGUGCUGCAG
ensembl:lncRNA